UACGUAGGGUGCGAGCGUUAAUCGGAAUUACUGGGCGUAAAGCGUGCGCAGGCGGUUUUGUAAGCCAGGUGUGAAAUCCCCGGGCUCAACCUGGGAAUGGCAUUUGGGACUGCAAGGCUGGAGUGCGGCAGAGGAGACUGGAAUUCCUGGUGUAGCAGUGAAAUGCGUAGAUAUCAGGAGGAAUACCGAUGGCGAAGGCAGGUCUCUGGGCUGACACUGACGCUCAUGCACGAAAGCGUGGGGAGCAACCAGG
rnacentral:rRNA from 1 species